rnacentral:rRNA from 1 species
GACGAACCGUGCGAACGUUGUUCGGAUUCACUGGGCUUAAAGGGCGCGUAGGCGGAUUGGCAAGUCAGGGGUGAAAUCUUUCGGCUCAACCGGAAAACAGCCCCUGAUACUGGCAGUCUUGAGGGAGGUAGGGGCAGGUGGAACUUCCGGUGGAGCGGUGAAAUGUGUUGAUAUCGGAAGGAACGCCGGUGGCGAAAGCGACCUGCUGGAUCUCUUCUGACGCUGAGGCGCGAAAGCUAGGGUAGCGAACGGG